UACGUAGGUGGCAAGCGUUGUUCGGAAUUAUUGGGCGUAAAGGGCGCGUAGGCGGUUUGUUAAGUCAGCUGUGAAAGCCCGGGGCUCAACCCCGGAGGGUCAGCUGAUACUGGCAGGCUAGAGUACAGAAGAGGUAACUGGAAUUCCCGGUGUAGCGGUGAAAUGCGUAGAUAUCGAGAGGAACACCAGUGGCGAAGGCGAGUCCCUGGACAACACCUGACACUGAGGCACGAAAGCUAGGGGAGCAAACAGG
rnacentral:rRNA from 1 species